AACAGUUUUGGUCCUGGGCUUACCGUUCUUUUUUGUUAAGAUUAUACAUGCAAGCCUCAGCACACCAGUGAAAAUGCCCACAACCCCUUAAAAGAUGUAUUGGAGCCGGCAUCAGGCACUACAUCGACAGCCCAUAACGCCUUGCUAUGCCACACCCCCACGGGUUAAUCAGCAGUAAUAAACAUUGGGCCAUAAGUGAAAACUUGACCCAACUAUAACAUACAGGGCUGGUCAAUUUCGUGCCAGCCACCGCGGUUAUACGAAAGGCCCAAAAUAACGGCAAACGGCGUAAAAUGUGACUAGAGAUUCCUUAAUGUUAAAAAUAUUAAAAACCCAUAGCCUAGUUGUAAAAUACUCAGAUACUAAGGGAAUACCAACACAAAUAUUUUUAAUUUUAUAUUCUUGACCACACGAAAGCUUAGAAACAAACUAGGAUUAGAUACCCUACUAUGCUAAGCCCUUAACAUUGAAUAGCCACUAUACAACCUUUCCGCCAGAGAACUACAAGUGAAAAACUUAAAACUCAAAGGACUUGACGGUGUCCCAUACCGAUCUAGAGGAGCCUGUCCUGUAAUCGAUACCCCCCGCUCCACCCGACCCCAACUAGCACAUGCCAGCCUAUAUACCGCCGUCGAUCAGCCUACCCUAUGAAGGUCCCACAGUAGACACAAUAGCCCCCUCGCUAAUACGUCAGGUCAAGGUGUAGCAAAUGUUGUGGAAGAGAUUGGCUACAUUUUUUAUUAUAAAAAACACGAAAUAUAUUAUGAAACAAUAUAUGAAGGUGAAUUUAGCAGUAAAAUAAACAAGAGUGUUUAUUUUAACAACGCUCUGGGACGCGUACACACCGCCCGUCACCCUCCUCAACCAACCAUAAACCCACCCUUUAUAAAUCGACAAAAUUAAAAAUAGAGGAGGUAAGUCGUAACAUGGUAAGCGUACCGGAAGGUGUGCUUGGAUCAAC
rnacentral:ncRNA from 1 species